GGCCGGUUGGCCCAAUGGCAAGGCGUCUGACUACGAAUCAGGAGAUUCUGGGUUCGACCCCAGGCUGGUCA
rnacentral:tRNA from 2 species